UAUGAGUUGGUAGGCUAGUGUAAUUAGUCUAAUUUUAGAUACAAGGAAGGAUAUCAUGUGUUUUUCUAAGUCUGGUGUUAGUUUUACAGAACUUUACAGAUCCAAGAAACUACCUGAAAAUAGAUGUUUGAUACUUUACUUCACAAAGUUGAUGCUAGAUUUAAAAAUCUAUUCCUUACAGAAGAAUGUUGGUCAUCAUUAUCCGAUUUAGAUUGGGCUUUGCAUUGAGUACUUCAUCGUCAUAUAGUCUCCUUGGGAACCAUAUUUUCAAAGAUGUCCGUUGCUGACCUAGCUGCCAUGAGUAUCAGUCUGUCAAGAUGUCCAUUGCUGACUUAUCUGCCAUGAGGAUCGUAGUUUCCCAAGAUGUCCAUUGCUGACUUAUCUGCCAUGAGGGUCGUAGUUUCCCAAGAUGUCCAUUGCUGACUUAUCUGCCAUGAGGAUCGUAGUUUCCCAAGAUGUUCAUUGCUGACUUAUCUGCCAUGAGGAUCGUAGUUUCCCAAGAUGUCCAUUGCUGACUUAUCUGUCAUGAGGAUCGUAGUUUCCCAAAAUGUCCAUUGCUGACUUAUCUGUCAUGAGGAUCGUAGUUUCCCAAGAUGUCCAUUGCUGACCUAGCUGCCAUGAGGAUCGUAGUUUGCCAUAUGAUCUACUUCAGUUGCCUAGUCGUCAUGACAUAACAGAAACGCUGAUCGUAUUUCUUCAAAUGAACACGAGGUUUAUUUUUAAAUUAUCCUUGAAUUACUUGACAA